UACGUAGGGGGCAAGCGUUGUCCGGAGUUACUGGGCGUACAGCGCGCGCAGGCGGCCUGGGAUGUGCCGGGUGACAGGGCGGGGCUCAACCCCGCAGGGUCCCGGUAGACACCUGGGCUGGAGGCCGAGAGAGGGUCGUGGAAUACCCGGUGGAGCGGUGAAAUGCGUAGAUAUCGAGAGGAACACCUGCGGCGAAGGCGGGUUGCUGGGCUGACACUGACGCUGAGGCGCGAAAGCUAGGGGAGCGAACGGGAUUAGAAACCCCGUGU
rnacentral:rRNA from 1 species